UGCGGGUCUUGACCAAAGCACUGAAGGUGGGAGUUGGUCUGCAGAUGAUGAGAGCUCAGGGACAAACCUGAUUACAAAGACACAGAAGAAGAAGAAAAGAGGAAAACAGAUGGUGAAAGGAAAAGAGCCACCCAAAGUUGCAGUGAGGAGACGAUGGAGUGAUGCAGAAAAGACAGCAGUCGAAAAGCACCUGGGAAACUGUUUGGCAGAGCGAAGAGUUCCUCGCAAAGAGGCCUGUCUGCGGGCUGUUCAGGCUGAGAAAGCCCUGUGUCAGAGGUCAUGGAGACUUGUCAAAGCCUAUGUUUCCAACAAAAUUGUGACUUUAAAUCGCAGAUCUUCUGCAAGGACUAGAGAUGCACCAUUCAGUUAGCCAGUUGGCUCAGAUAAAAGUCAUCCCUACUGAUCUGUUCAUGUCUGUUUUAUCUGUUCUUUUAUGUGUUCUUUGUGAAUAUAUAUUAGUGCAUCUGUAGUGAGCAGGGAAGCUUCAUUAUUUAAGUUUUGUUAGUUAAGUUGUUAUGUUUUUCUCAGCUCUGCAGUUAGAAAAGUAGGAAAGAA